UUUUUAUCUUCAGGAAACUCCCAAGCAUUCUGGAAGCUCUGCAUGUGAGUAAGAACCACUGCUGUUGCUGUUGCUGUAGCUGCCUGAAUCUAUGGCAAAAAGCCAGGAAAAAAAAAUUGCUUCACACCAUGUGCACCGACUCCCCUGGAGCUGGCACCACCAGGGCGUCUGCAGAGCUAUGUAAGUCGUUCUCCACUACAGAAACAGUGUUUGUUAUCCUUUGUUUUCGGUAUUUCUGAAGUUGGAGAGCCAACCAGCAAAACCUUCAGAAAGAAGGCAGCUUCUACCAGAGGGAUCUUGGAUAUUAUUCCCUGUGAUGGGUGUAGCAAAAGAGUAAAUGUGAGGCAAGGCACAUUUUUCUUUAAUUCUUUAUCCCCUCAUUCUCCACACCUUCACCACAUAAGAUAGUAUAAGUCUAUUAGACUUAGUGAAUCGUUGAAGUAACUUAAGGAAAUAAUAUUUUAGGAAGAGGGAAAAAUUAAACAUAACACAGU
rnacentral:lncRNA from 1 species